rnacentral:tRNA from 1 species
UAGUGUAUAGCUCAAUUGGUAGAGCGAUGGUCUCUUAAAUCAUCGGUUUCAGGUUCGAGUCCUGAUGCACCCA